UUUCAAAUGGAAUCCCCCAAUUUCCUCCGUAAUCCCUACCUUAUUUCGUCAGAUUUCCUUCUCCUUCUUCAUCAUUUUCCUAAAAUACACAGUCGAACGAGUUUUUCCAUUUUUCCAUUUUCGAAUCUACACAUAUUGUGUAAUUUUCCACAAAUGUUCAUUGUUUUGUUUUCGUCCCUGAUUUCUUUUCCCCUUCGUUGAAACCAAGUUUCUUUUUCUUGACGACUGCAUUUGCACACAUUGCCUCCGAAACCAAAUCCAUCAUUUCUUUCAAUUAAGGGCUCUGCUGAAACAGAUGAGUGUCGGACUUAUUAGAGUUAACUAACCCAGUUAGUUUCUAGUCAGCAUCAUUAUUGUUAUUAAAACAGUUAUAAUAAUUGGCUAUUUAUAUGCCCUAUUCAAUUCAAAUGAAUCGCCUUAAUAGGACUUCCCCUUGUGGCUGCGUUUUCAUUUCCACCCAACGGUGCUUCAAGUGACAAAUGCUCCAUGGCAAAUGCUCCACUCAAGUACCAUGAGUUGAACGAAAGAGUCCAAUAGGGCCAUCGACGGAGCAUGGCAGGGUAGUCGCUCCUUUUGAAAGGAUGUACCACUUAAACAAGUCAUUCACGAGGUACUAUGGUUUUAAACAUGUAAUUUCAUAAUUUGGUGUAUGUAUAAUUUUUUUGUUUAUGCAUUGUUGUAAUAUGUUCCUUACAAUUUGGGCACAAUUUCAAGGGUUUUUUUUUUUCAUUUAGCACUAUAAUGACUAUUUCUCAAAUUUUGAUCAA